CCGCUAUCGCCCUUGCUGCCCAUGUCUCUAGCCUGGAUUGGUCUAAGAAGAAGCUAUUCUUGUGUGUAGCUUAGAGAUGAAGCGAACUAUGUGCUGCUCUUUAUAGAGCAAAAGGCUAGGUGAUGGAUGCUCGAGGGGAAGCGGCUGGGAACAUCAAGGAAGCAUCGAUGUUUAGCCUCAUGGAUGAAGAGUUCCAACUGGCAUUGGUGAUCCCUCAAAAUUGAAGAUAGGAAAAAGGCAUAAAGCAUCAAGCCUUACGGGUAGGUUAAGGAUGUUUCCUAGAAUUUCUGUGAAGAAUUGUCUUCACUUUGAGUAUAAGACAAGCCGUACUAUUAAGAGCAAUCAAAGUGUGAUUUGCCUCAACCAGUCUGUGAAGGCCUGAAGAUUGCCUCUGCGAAGAAAGAUCCAUCACGAGUAACUCGGUGAGACUUUGGUCUUAGAUCAGGAGAAUUGUGUGGACUUGUGUGUCCGCGAAUCUUGUGUGAUUCAACCCUCUCAACGGAGACGUAGGAUUGUGCCAACAAUCUGAACUUCGGGAAACAAAUCAUCGUGUCUCUGUGUC